rnacentral:rRNA from 1 species
UAGGGAAUCUUCGGCAAUGGACGGAAGUCUGACCGAGCAACGCCGCGUGAGUGAAGAAGGUUUUCGGAUCGUAAAGCUCUGUUGUAAGAGAAGAACGAGUGUGAGAGUGGAAAGUUCACACUGUGACGGUAACUUACCAGAAAGGGACGGCUAACUACGUGCCAGCAGCCGCGGUAAUACGUAGGUCCCGAGCGUUAUCCGGAUUUAUUGGGCGUAAAGCGAGCGCAGGCGGUUAGAUAAGUCUGAAGUUAAAGGCUGUGGCUUAACCAUAGUACGCUUUGGAAACUGUUUAACUUGAGUGCAGAAGGGGAGGGUGGAAUUCCAUGUGUAGCGGUGAAAUGCGUAGAUAUAUGGAGGAACACCGGUGGCGAAAGCGGCUCUCUGGUCUGUAACUGACGCUGAGGCUCGAAAGCGUGGGGAGCAAACAGGAUUAGAUACCCUGGUAGUCCACGCCGUAAACGAUGAGUGCUAGGUGUUGGGUCCUUUCCGGGACUCAGUGCCGCAGCUAACGCAUUAAGCACUCCGCCUGGGGAGUACGACCGCAAGGUUG